AAAGUCUAAACGACUCUCGGCAACGGAUAUCUCGGCUCUCGCAUCGAUGAAGAACGUAGCGAAAUGCGAUACUUGGUGUGAAUUGCAGAAUCCCGUGAACCAUCGAGUCUUUGAACGCAAGUUGCGCCCGAAACCACUUGGUUGAGGGCACGCCUGCCUGGGCGUC
rnacentral:rRNA from 1 species